GCUGGGCAAAGUGGCACAUGCCUGUAAUCCCAGCCACUCGGAAGGCUGAGGCAGGAGAAUCGCAGGUUCAAAGCCAGCCUCAACAACAUCGAGGUGCUAAGCAACUCAGUGAGACCCUGUGUCUA
rnacentral:sRNA from 1 species